CCAUGGCCCCGCUGCCGGCACAAAGGGGCGGGGGCAGGAAGCGGCGGCUCCUCCCCGGGCUUGGCCCUGCCCCCGGGGCCUCUCGCAGGGGGGUUGGGACACGCGGGGAAGCCAGUGUAGCAGCUCCCCCAGCCCCUGCUCAGCGGAGGGUGUCAGCUGGAUUCCAGCUGCUGCAGCCAGUUCCGGGAAAGAGCCUGAGGGAAUCCUGAUGUGAAAUGAACUAAAUCCUGUUCUGAAACCUCCACAACUGCUCUUCUCACCCUGCCAGGCUGCAGAAUGAUGCACACGUCUCGCUCCAGCUCAUCCCAGCCUUUCCUGGGACAGGAAAGAGAAAUAGCUGCAGUUGGGCCAGAUCAGGGGCCGGUGACCUUCGCAGAGGUGGCUGUGUAUUUCACCAGGGAAGAGGGGGCUCUGUUGGACCCCACUCAGAGAGCCCUCUACAGAGGCGUCAUGCAGGAGAACUAUGAGACUGUGACCUCACUGGGGUUUCCAGUUUCCAAACCCUAUGUGAUCUCCCAGCUGGAAGGAGGGGAAGAGCCGUGGGUCCUGGAUCUCCCUGGCUCAGAGGAAAGUGAGAUCCUGAGAAGUCCCUGCACAGCAGGUGAUGGGGUGGUGAGGGAGAAUGAGGAGCAGAAUCCUCACCAGGAAGAUGCUGAGCUAGCCCGAGCAGAUGGGGAAUUACUGCGAAGAGCCAAAGGGAAUGUGUCCAGCCCCCGUGAGCAGGGAAAAACUGGUGAAAGAUACCACAGACCAGAGAGAGAGCAGGGAAACCACUCAGAGGAUAGAGUGGAUGAACCCAUUAAUUGUCAGGGAACUCACAAGGAUUUCAAGGAAACUACAUCCCAGGAGAAAAUCCUCACGGAAAAGAGAGAGAAUACAUGCAGUGAGUGUGGGAAAAACUUCAAUUACCGCUCAGCCCUUAUUCGCCAUGAGAUAAUCCACACGAAAGAGAGACCCUACGAAUGCUAUGAGUGUGGGAAAAGCUUCAAUCAUACCUCAGCCCUUAUUAGACAUCAGCGAAUACACAGAGGAGACAGACCUUAUAAAUGCUGUGAGUGCGGGAAAAGCUUCACUCAGAGCUCAGACCUUUCUGCCCAUCAGAGAAUCCAUACGGGGGAGAGACCCUAUGAAUGCAGGGAGUGCGGGAAAAGCUUCAAUCAUCGUUCAGCCCUUAUCUCUCAUCAGAGAAUACACACCGGAGAGCGACCUUACGAAUGCUAUGAGUGCAGGAUAAGCUUCACUCAGAGAUCAGCCCUUCUCUCUCAUCACAGAAUCCACACAGGAGAGCGACCCUACACAUGCUCUGAGUGUGGGAAAAGCUUCACCCGAAGCUCAAAUCUUACUACGCAUCAGAGGAUCCACACAGGAGAGAGACCCUAUGAAUGCAGUGAGUGCGGGAAAAGUUUCACUGACAUCUCCUCCCUUAUCUCGCAUCAGAGAAUCCACACGGGAGAGAAACCCUAUGAAUGUUGUGAGUGUGGGAAAAGCUUCUCUCAGAGCUCAACCCUUAUUACACAUCACAGAAUCCACACAGGACACAGACCCUAUGAAUGCUGCGAGUGUGGGAAAAGCUUCUCUCAGAGCUCAGGCCUUCUCUAUCAUCAGAGAAUCCGUAAAGGAGAUAAACUCCAUAAAAACCUUCUCUAGAGCUGUCAGAAGAUUUUUUUUCUAAAUUAUUUUGAGAGUUUGCAUCUUUUGCACACUGUAGUCCCUCAGCUCCCACACGAGUUGCCCACUUUUGAAGCUCGCCCGUUUUUGGAUCCUGUGGUCCUUUCUGUCAACUCCAUUGUCCUGCAAGUCAUGGGAGUGUGUGUCCUUUCUACCAGGAAUGUCCAUCACCCCAAGUGAGGGAGAUGGGGGUGUCUUUAGCCAGCUACAUAGAGGUUUGUUUUUUCCCCUGUCCCUGCAUGAUGACAUGGAGAAAAUUCAGAUACAGUUCAAUCAACAGGAGAGAAUACUCCAAGCUGCUGGACAUAUUAUCAGAGAAACAGUCAUGUUUUUAAAUCUCCACUCUGAAAAGGUGAACAGCAGCAGACCCCAAAUGGUGCAACUGACAGAAGUAAGUGCACAUAGUCACAGGGUAGUUCAAUUAUUUAAGUCAGUAUUGUCUCAGAUGAUCCAGGGAUAGAAUUCCACAGCAAGUGACUUGGAACUAGGCAAAAUGCCCAGGUAUUUGGUUCCCAAAGCAUUUGUGACCCAGUCCCUACAGGAGGUUAAUCCUGAAGAGAUCUCCUAGCUAAUCCCAAAAGUUGGGAAACGCUGUCUGUGAUGAGGUAUAUCAACCCUGAACUGGCACUGCUAGGGUUAACUGCACCGUGUGGGCUGAAGAGGCCUCACCCUCUCUGGGCAUGCUCCGACUGGAGACAGAGUAUAAAAGGGAGCAGCUCAGCACAGCCUGCGUGGACUGAGGAGGAGAGAAAACCAUGUUGCUGGCUCCUGCCAGGAAGCCACAGGACUCCCAGGCUGCAGUGUCCAGCCAUGCUGAGACCCUAGCAGAAACCCAAUCAACUGCCAAAGAUCUCCAAGAAGAGACUCUGGAUGCCAGGAGAUUACUGACGCUGGAAGUAAGGGUGGGAAGUGACCCAGGGAACGGGACUGUUGCAGUGAACAAUCAAGGCUGGACACAGGAGUAUUAGUUCCUCAAGGCCCUGGGUCAGGACCUCGUGGAGUAGGGUGGUCCCAGGUCCCUCCACUACACCGACCCACGGGCUGGAGUCACCACCUGAAGACAAGCUGUCUCGACCCAGGGGACAGAUUUCUUCCCCUCCAAACCCUGUCUUCUUCCUUAUGCGGCCACACACCCCGCAACAGCUGGUCCAAGUCCUGGCCCCCCACCUCUGCCUAAGGCUCUGGGAGGGAGUUUGGGUGCAUGAGGUGCAGGCUCUAGGCUGGAGCAGGGGCUUGGGGUGCAAGGGAGGCAGGGGCAGAUCCUGGGAGGGAGUUUGGGUGUGGACUGUGAGCUGGGCAGGGGGUUGGGGUGCAGGGGGGGCGGUGGUGGGCUGUGGGAGUGAGUUUGGGUGCAGGAGGGGGGACUAGUUCUGGGAGGGAGUUUGGAUGCAUGAGGUGCAGGCCCUGGGCUGAGGGAGAGGGUUAGGGUGAAGGGAGAUGGGGGCGGACCCUAGGAGGGAGUUUGGGUGUGAGCUCUGGGUUGGGGUACAGGGGGAGCAGUGGUGGGCUCUGGGAGGGAGUUUGGGUGGGGUGAGGCGUGGGAUCUGGGCUGCAGCAGGGAAUGGGGGGGCAGUGGUGGGCUCUGGGAGGGAGUUUGAGUGCAUGAGGUGCAGGCUCUGGGCUGGAGCAGGGGGUUGGAAUUUGGCACCUAUCUCGGGCAGCUCCUGAAAGUGACCCACACCCCCCUCUGGCACAAAUCCUACAUGGAGGAGGCUGGGGGUGGUGGGUCUCCUGGCACCACUGCACGCAGGUACCACCCCUGCAGCUCCCAUUCCCGCAGUUCCAAUGGCAGAGUUGGCGCUUAGGGCAGGGGCAGCGUGCAAGAGACAGAGGCCACAGGGACAUGCCAGAUGCUUCUGGGAGUGAUGCGCCUUGCGGAGCAAGAGUGGGCGGGAAUCUGCUUUAGCCUGACUGUGCAGCCGGUAGUGGUGGCAGAAGCCCCUGGGCCCUUUCAAAUCGCCCAGGGCCAGCUGCUCAGGUUUUUUGAUGGGGAAGUAAAGAGAAGCCACAAGAGUGGUCAUGAGCACUUCUGGGGAGUCUUUUUGGGGGUCCUGGAGUAGGCAGCAGAGAGAGACAGCCUCACCCCUGAGUCUGUUUCCCUGGAGGAGAGAGGGAGAUGCAGGCUGAUAUCCCAUCUCUGUGCAUCCAAGAGCCUGUGCUCCCCACUGCCAUGGUGGAGUCUCCACAUUUAUUUAUUGACAAAUAAAUUUUACAGAAUUUUGAAAUAUUGUGCACAGAAUUUUUCUGGUGCAGAAUCUCCUCAGGAGUGAGAUUGACUUAGGGAACCUCCUUUGAUUGUCACUGCUUUGUGAACCACUCUGCCACCACACCAAUGCAAAGAGAGACCGCUAAGCCCUACUGCUAUGCAGGGGUUGGGGCUGGGGUCAGGUCAUACACAUUCAGACUGUACGCUCCCCUAGCUACAAACUGCUGCUGAUUUUCCAUUUAGAACAUUAGCCCUUACUGACAAAGUUUGUCUGUGUUCUUUUUUUAUCUCAUGCUGCUAGUUAGAAGGAUCAGUAUUGAUUUUUUUUCCCAAAAAAUACACAACCCCCUAAACCUGCUUUUAGCAAUCGGAAUAAUUUAGUGUCACC